rnacentral:rRNA from 1 species
AUUCCAGCUCCAAUAGCGUAUACUAAAGUUGUUGCGGUUAAAAAGCUCGUAGUUGGAUCUUGGAAUGUGUUCAAGCGGGUCAGCUUCUGGCUGUUCGCUGCUUGACGUGUUCUUCUAUUUGGUUUUGGUGCGGUGCGCUUAACUGCGUGUCGCUCCCGGCCGAAACGUUUACCUUGAAAAAAUUAGAGUGUUCAAAGCAGACCUGUUUGAGUCUGAAUAUUCGUGCAUGGAAUAAUGAAAUAUGAAUUCGGUUCUAUUUUGUUGGUUUUCGGAACUCGAGUUAAUGAUCAAGAGGGACAGACGGGGGCAUUCGUACUCUGCCGUUAGAGGUGAAAUUCUUGGACCGGCGGGAGACGCGCAACUGCGAAAGCAUUUGCCAAGAAUGUUUUCAUCA